UUUUUCUCUUUCCCUUAGGUGAGCCUGGAAUCACCCUCUAUUAACUCAAGGUGGAGUUUCCUUGCUAUAGGAGUUUUUCUAGGAUACAGAAAGCACAGAACAAAUGCAGUGUUGCCUGAGGUUAAACUGCUCCAGACCUGCCUUCAGAGUCCUUCCCUCAUUGCAGAAAGGAAUGGGCUGCAUGAGACCACAGAAUACUUUGGGACCAGAGAGGGCUGCACUCAUCUUACCUGCUCCUUGCUUUCCUAAGAGUGUGACAGAGGAAGAUUCUUUGGUGUCUCCAGAGAGAGCAAACCUGAGUUGAUUUUAAAUCUUGUUCCAGAGGAAUGCUAAAGGUGAGGACCCACAGACCCAG
rnacentral:lncRNA from 1 species